rnacentral:lncRNA from 1 species
GGCGGCAGUGGUGGUGGUGGGUCAAAACGACCAAGGAAGGGCACUCUUGGCGUGGUAGCAAGCAGAAUCUUCUGCACAUGGUCCCACGACUACGUCCUCAUUGUUGGCUACCAACACCUCCUCUUCUACUGCCAUUACUAGAAAUAGAUUCUAAUACUCCUGAAAAACAAGCAGCUUAUGAGGCAUGGAAGGAAAGAGAAAGGAAAAGAUAAUGUUAUCCAGGUAAAAUUACAUAAAAAAUUAAGCCUGCUUCAUUAAGAGACAGGGAAAACCCAAUUCCCUACAGAAGUACUCAG